UACGUAGGGGGCAAGCGUUGUCCGGAUUUAUUGGGCGUAAAGAGCGUGUAGGCGGCCAGAUAGGUCAGCUGUGAAAACUCGAGGCUCAACCUCGAGAUGUCGGCUGAAACCAUCUGGCUAGAGUCCGGAAGAGGAGAAUGGAAUUCCCGGUAGUAGCGGUGAAAUGCGCAGAUAUCGGGAAGAACACCCGUGGCGAAGGCGGUCUCUGGGACCGGUACUGACGCCUGGAGGACGACGAAGCGUGGG
rnacentral:rRNA from 1 species